rnacentral:rRNA from 1 species
UACUAGAGUAGCACUCGCAUAUCAAUAAGCGGAGGAAAAGAAACUAACAAGGAUUCCCCUAGUAACGGCGAGUGAAGCGGGAAGAGCUCAAAUUUGAAAUCUUAAAGGGUCUCCCUUUACGAAUUGUAGUUUAAAGAAGUGUUUUCUGUUGAGGUUUUGGUAAAAGUUCUUUGGAAUAGGACAUCAUAGAGAGUGAGAAUCCCGUAUUUGACCUUUACUUUCAACUUUGUGAUACACUUUCAAAGAGUCGGAUUGUUUGGGAAUGCAGUCCAAAAUGGGUGGUAAAUUUCAUCUAAAGCUAAAUAUUGGCGAGAGACCGAUAGCGAACAAGUACCGUGAGGGAAAGAUGAAAAGAACUUUGAAAAGAGAGUUAAACAGUACGUGAAAUCGUCAAAAGGGAAGCGUUUGAUCACCAGUGUUGUUUCUCUGAAAAUCAAUUAAAGAACUGUUUAUGCUAAGCUGUUUAGACUUUAUCAGCUAACUGUUUAGUUUUGAGCUUUUCUUUAAUGCACUUUUCAGUUAACAAGCUCAACAUCAAUUUCUUUUGCUGUAAAAAAGCUUGAGGAAGGUGGCUUGAGAUUCGUCUUAAGUGUUUAUAGCCUCUUGCCUAUGCAGUCGGAGAGAUUGAGGUCUGCAGCGUAGAUCCUUCGGGGCUAAAUGCAUUUGUGCUAAGUUAUAGCAUUUUAUAGACAACUUGUUGACUAUGAUUUGUCUUGUAGCUUACUCGCUUAUGUUAUUUUACCUACGCUUAGGAUGUUGAGUCAUCACACAUCUCU